rnacentral:rRNA from 1 species
UGGGGAAUUUUGGACAAUGGGCGAAAGCCUGAUCCAGCAAUGCCGCGUGUGUGAAGAAGGCCUUCGGGUUGUAAAGCACUUUUGUCCGGAAAGAAAUCCUUGGCUCUAAUACAGUCGGGGGAUGACGGUACCGGAAGAAUAAGCACCGGCUAACUACGUGCCAGCAGCCGCGGUAAUACGUAGGGUGCAAGCGUUAAUCGGAAUUACUGGGCGUAAAGCGUGCGCAGGCGGUUUGCUAAGACCGAUGUGAAAUCCCCGGGCUCAACCUGGGAACUGCAUUGGUGACUGGCAGGCUAGAGUAUGGCAGAGGGGGGUAGAAUUCCACGUGUAGCAGUGAAAUGCGUAGAGAUGUGGAGGAAUACCGAUGGCGAAGGCAGCCCCCUGGGCCAAUACUGACGCUCAUGCACGAAAGCGUGGGGGGCAAACAGGAUUAGAUACCCCUGGUAGUCCACGCCCUAAACGAUGUCAACUAGUUGUUGGGGAUUCAUUUCCUUAGUAACGCAGCUAACGCGUGAAGUUGACCGCCUGGGGAGUACGGUCGCAAGAUUAAAACUCAAAGGAAUUGACGGGGUCAUAGCUGUUUCCU